rnacentral:lncRNA from 1 species
ACAAUCCAUGACCACCAACUAGAUAAAUAGCCCCACAUCACCAUAACAACCUCUACUACCUCUACCUUUCGUGCCUCUAGUAAUACCCCUACCCUCACAGUUGUAUUAUGAGUAGCCCUAAAAAUAUGAUGGGAAUAAUCAUUAGCCAAAUGGUUAGUCUCAUUACAUAAAUAACAAGCUUUAAACUUUCUUUAAUGGCCAC